UUGCCUCAGUAACGGCGAGUGAAGCGGCAAGAGCUCAAAUUUGAAAGCUGGCCCCUUCGGGGUCCGCAUUGUAAUUUGCAGAGGAUGCUUCGGGAGCGGCCCCCAUCUAAGUGCCCUGGAACGGGCCGUCAUAGAGGGUGAGAAUCCCGUCUGGGAUGGGGUGCCCGCGCCCGUGUGAAGCUCCUUCGACGAGUCGAGUUGUUUGGGAAUGCAGCUCUAAAUGGGUGGUAAAUUUCAUCUAAAGCUAAAUACUGGCCGGAGACCGAUAGCGCACAAGUAGAGUGAUCGAAAGAUGAAAAGCACUUUGAAAAGAGAGUUAAACAGCACGUGAAAUUGUUGAAAGGGAAGCGCUUGCGACCAGACUCGCUCGCGGGGUUCAGCCGGCCUUCGGGCCGGUGUACUUCCCCGCGGGCGGGCCAGCGUCGGUUUGGGCGGCCGGUCAAAGGCCCUCGGAAUGUAACGCCCCCCGGGGCGUCUUAUAGCCGAGGGUGCCAUGCGGCCAGCCCGGACCGAGGAACGCGCUUCGGCUCGGACGCUGGCAUAAUGGUCGUAAGCGACCCGUCUUGAAACACGGACCAAGGAGUCUAACAUCUACGCGAGUGUUCGGGUGUCAAACCCGUGCGCGCAGUGAAAGCGAACGGAGGUGGGAACCCCUCGGGGUGCACCAUCGACCGAUCCUGAUGUCUUCGGAUGGAUUUGAGUAAGAGCGUAGCUGUUGGGACCCGAAAGAUGGUGAACUAUGCCUGAAUAGGGCGAAGCCAGAGGAAACUCUGGUGGAGGCUCGCAGCGGUUCUGACGUGCAAAUCGAUCGUCAAAUUUGGGUAUAGGGGGCGAAAGACUAAUCGAACCAUCUAGUAGCUGGUUUCCUGCCGAAG
rnacentral:rRNA from 1 species